GCACUCAACCAUGGCGGCACAUAUACUGAAAUUGGAGAGAUACAGAGAAGAUUAGCAUGGCCCCUGCAAAAGGAUGACAUGCAAAUCUGUGAAGCGAUCCAUUUUUUU